UGCUGUGAGUAGCGAACCGGAGGACGGACGGCCCCUCUCCCGCCCCCUGGCUUCCCGCUUCCCCAGGCAACCAAUCAAUCAGAAGCGCGCGAGAUUCAAAUGGCAUAGGCGCCAAGAAAAGAAAAUGGGUGGGGCAACAGGGUGGCUUCCUCUAGACUAGAGAACUGGACUGUAACUCCAGCAGAGGCCAGAGGGCGCCGCCCUACCAAAAGUUCCCUAUUCCAUUUUGACUUUACCCAUCCACGUACUACAGGAGGCCUUUCUAGUCUUCCUCAAAGACCAGUCUUUUCCUCUCAUUCUUCACAUCUACUUCUUAAGAUUUUAGAGACAAAAGAGUAAUUAUCCCUCCCAAUCUUCAACAUCACCACCAGAAAAAGUAGCCUCCAACAGAGGUACAGCACAGAAACCCCUAGAUCACCAAUUCUGCUUCUAGUCUAACCCUCAAAACCAACCAGGAAAGCAACUCCUGUGGACAAGAGGCCAGCAGUCCCCAACAAGUACUACAUAUAAGGCUGGCAAACCUGCUUAGGUGAAGCAGAAAGGCACCUGGAACAAGACCUGGGAGAUAUAAUGUACAGAGCAAGUGUAACUACUAAUAUCCCCACUCAGACCCUGAUGGAAACAAUUCAGAACUGUGUGAACACAAGAGCUUUGGAAUGGCAAUGAUUCCAGCCCUAUGCCCUCAGUCAUCAUCCAGAGUAGCAACUUUUGUGGAGAUGUAGCUUGGAAAUUGUUCCUGUAGGUGCUGCAGUCACAGUUACUGAUGCCAGAAAAGAAAGUUCUUGCCAGCAAAUUCCUUGGCACUGCCAAAUGGUUCAACAUCAGAAAUUGAUGAUUUUUCAGUGGAAGAAAUAUUAAAAAUGAGGCAUAACCAUUUCCUUUGCAGUUGCAACCUAAGAACCAUGGGACUUUUCUCUGAUUUACAACCAAAACAUUCCAUUUUUGCGUUGUUUCCUCUAGUAGAAUGUGAGCUCCUUCAAAGCAAGAACUGUGACUUUUCCAUUUAUAUUCCCAGUUCUUAGUACAAUGCUUUGUACAUAGUAAGCACUUAAUCAUUCAUUUAUUCAAUCAAUCAAUCAAUCAUUCUUCUCAGUGGCAGUCCUAGACAAGUGGCUGGCUGUCGUUUUAUUGAACACUUCCAGUGAUCGGGGAGUUCACUACUUGUUGAAAUGGUCCAGUCCAUUUAUGGAUAGCUUUGAUAAAAGAAAAGGUACCUGGGCACACGGUGGCGUGGACAAGGGAUGAUAUGUAGAAGUUGUGGAAGGGAGUAGAGGAAGUUGAACACCUGAGGCAUGAAGAAGAGUAACAUUGUCUUGCUGAAGUGCCCCAGGAUGCCCACCACAGCAAAGGUCAUGCCUGCAAAGUAGCAGAAAGUGUCGCCCACAAACACCUGGGAUGGGUACCUAUGAGAAAGAAGUGACCUGAGGCAGGAGCAACAGAAUUCCCCAAAGUACUGUCCUCUCUUAUCUUCCCUUCUAUAUUCAAAACUUACCUUCAAGCUCUACAAGAUUGAAGAUAAUAAUGGAGGCAGAAAUGACCAGAGACUGUCCAGCCUCCAGCCCAUUGAUUCCUGCU